rnacentral:lncRNA from 1 species
AAUAUAUUACUACUUCCAUUUGUAUUUGUUUUUAGUUUAAAAUUUAGAAAUGAGAUUGAGUUUUUUCUAAUAUUUCAUAUACUGAUUGACACUGGUGUCCUCGCUGGGUAUCCUGAGCAAAGUAUCCUGAGGGAAGGAUUGAGGUUCCAAACUCAGGGCUGUUGGUAAUAGCCACUCAUUCAUUCAUUUUCUUUCAGCUUCUUAUUAUAUUAUCCAAUAUUAACUAAAUGACCUUUACAAAAUGGACACACUUUGAAAAUAUUCCUGCAACGAGACUGAAGCUAGCAGAUAACAUUUAAAAUGCAAGCACAGAGAGCAAGAAGAGAGUUGACAUGCCUCUUACUUUUAUCACAAGUUCAUCAUCAUUUGUUUUAUGAGGAAAAGCAAAAACAGUGUAAUCACAUCUCAAAAUAAACGGGUCAAAAAUAUUUCAGUCAACAAGAGGACUAUUGAAAUAUGGAUUUAUAGCACCAUUAUUUAAUCACAUGCUAAAAGCAUAUGUUCCUAUGUAAGUUUGCUAGUAUAUAGUGUGUCUAGACUCAAAUUAUUUUCUGAUGGCAGUGCCAAAUGAAAAAGCUUGAGAAAAAAUACAUUAGGUGGGAAAGCAGUUAUUGCUUAUCUCUUUUCCACCUCUUGCAAAGGCUGUGAUCUCUCCCUGUUUCUGUUCAGCUCUUCAUGGGUUCCCUGCCUCUGUGUCCUCCAGAGCACAGUAGUAAGUGGCAGCGUCUGCCACCUGCACCUGGAGAAUGAGCAGUGAUGAGGAGAAUCGCUCAUAUGUCAUAUUGUAGCGUCCCUGCUGAGAAGGGCUUGAGCCCUUAAUAAGGAGUCUUGGUGCACAUCCUGGGAGGUGAAGGUACCAGAAGAAGUUGUAAGCAGUGGAUAUAGAGUGAUUACAGGAGAUUUCUGCCACAGCUCCCUCCGAAGAUACCACAGUGGAAGGCUGAAGUACUUGGUCCUUGCUUUCUGCAACUGCAGGGAACAAAUAAAGAAGGCUGUGAUUUUUAUGCUGCUAUUUGGCUUACUGAUCGCCCCUUGGGGGUGACAUGCAUUGAAGACAUUAAGGAGAAAAGAAGAGAUGGAA